CCGAGGCCCCACCAGAGGAAGGUGGGGUGUGAGGAGGCCCGAGACCAGCGCGGGUGAGGAGGAGCGAGCGGGAGGAGGCAACGCAGGACCGUCGGUGGCCUGUGCUCCGGAGCAUGAUGGUGGCACCCACGUUUCCUGCAGAGUACACCCCCUGCUAUUUCACUUGUUGGUUGAUUUCUUUAUUUUGAACUUUUGAAAGGCAAGAGAUUAGUCCUUCACACAAGUCUCCACACAUUACUUUCAGGAGGUUGGUGUUCAUCAGCUGUCUUCGUGUAUUAUUUCAACAAGAGCGAUGAAUGGUCUUCAAGAUGCCUGGUUGGAUGGCCUCUGGUGGAGCUGGGCUGCAGGUGACCCGGCAGGUGUGAGCCGGCGGCGGGAAGGGACCAGACACGGCUCUGCCCCAGCAGCCCGCCGGGCUUCGCUCACCGUCUGCUCCCCACGCCGAGGUCCUUUGGAGUCUCCAUGGAGGUUAGUGGCUGUGAAGAUGGCUUCCCCCCAUCUGUGUCCUCUGGGUCUUGUGGGAAAAAGGCACCAAGAGCUCCGUGGGUGUGCACCCGUGACAGUAGAGGAGACAGGUGAGUUCUGCGUGUAAACGGAGGGGCCGCGUGAGGCGCCUGCAUUCGGUCGGGAGGUCCCAGACCCCAGCCCCGCUGCCGGCUGGGAGCCAUGUGGAGACUGAUGAUGU
rnacentral:lncRNA from 1 species